AAAUAUGUACAUGGCAUGUGACACAUGUGCAACAAUAUCAAUUGGUCCAUAAGUCACUUAAGUGAUUAAUAAAAAUAAAUAAAAACAAAAAUCAGAAAAAAUGUGGGCCUUUGGAUCAAAAGACCAAGUCAACAAGAUCUGACGGCCACGGGAUCAUCUUCUUCCUCAAGACAACUCCGGCCGUGAACAGUAACGCCGACGGAAUUCCGGCCACCUCCGGCGGCGACCUCCUCCACGCGCAGCCCAGAAAUUCACGAAAAUGGGGCUACC
rnacentral:lncRNA from 1 species